CAGUCGCCGCGGUAAUACGUAGGUGGCAAGCGUUGUCCGGAAUUAUUGGGCGUAAAGGGCUCGCGGGCGGUUUCUUAAGUCUGAUGUGAAAGCCCCCGGCUCAACCGGGGAGGGUCAUUGGAAACUGGGAAACUUGAGUGCAGAAGAGGAGAGUGGAAUUCCACGUGUAGCGGUGAAAUGCGUAGAGAUGUGGAGGAACACCAGUGGCGAAGGCGACUCUCUGGUCUGUAACUGACGCUGAGGAGCGAAAGCGUGGGGAGCGAACAGGAUUAGAUACCCGAGUAGUCCCUGUCUCUUAUAC
rnacentral:rRNA from 1 species